AAUAUGAAGUAAGGCUUAAGCAUUAAUUAAUGAUAUUAAUAUGUUUCUACUAUUAAGAUGGUUUGUUUGACAAGAGUCACAUUAAUAUCCAAAUCGAUCAUUUUAUCAAAAUUACAUGCAAUACUAUGGUAUUUAUCUUUACAUAUGCAACUGUGUGUCUGAAACUGUUUCUUAAGGCUAAAACUCUUAGGAAUGGAAUUACUGUUGAGACUCAUUUAGUUGCAAGUAAUAGGAAGCAUCUUGAGCUCUCCUUGGGAAAAAAAAAAAAUUUCUAGAUUCAGAGGUGAGUGAUGGGCCUCUGUGAUUGUCAGGAAGGCAGCUGGAACUGUGCAGGUUCCAGAGCCAGGAACUGAAAAACUGUCAGAACUUCCUCUCCAUCUCUUGUUUCUCCUGUCUGUGCAUCUGUGGCAUUCUUCUCUCUCUUGGUAGGCAAGUUUCCACUGUUUUUCUUGUUCCACAUGAUAGGAAGCAUGACCUUGCAGCAAUUCCAGAAUUUAUGCAUCAUCGGUCCAGCUACAUAACAAGAGGCCAAAUCUCUCUCUUUCUCUGUUACAAUUUAAAAAUCCAGAGGACGGGGCUCAGUGCUUACUCCUGCCUAUGUAGCUGUGGCUGU
rnacentral:lncRNA from 10 species